rnacentral:lncRNA from 1 species
CAAGGCGUCAGUAGGGCUGGCUCCUGCUAGAAGCGCUGAGGGCAGGAUUCUUUGCGUUUUCAGUGUCUGUAUUUUCUUUCUUUCUAUUUCUUUCUUUCUUUCUUUCUUUUUUCUCUUUCUUUCUUUCUUUCUUUCUUUCUUUCUUUCUUUCUUUCUUUCUUUCUUUCUUUCUUUCUUUCUUUCUUUCUUUCCUUCUUUCUCCUCUCCUCUCCUUUCCUUUCCCUUCCUCCUGUCCUUCCUUCCUUCCUUCCUUCCUUCUUUUCUCUCUCUCUCUCUCUCUCCCCAACACCCCGCCCUGCCAUCUUUCUUUGUCUCUUUCUUUUUUUUAGAGGCAGAAUCUCACUCUAUUGCCCAGGCUGCAGUGCAGUGGUCCAAUCUUGGCUCACUGCAGCCUCUGCCUCCUGGGUUCAAGAUAUUCUUCUGCCUCAACUUCCCAAGUAGCUGGGACUACAUGUGUGUGCACCAUGUCCGGCUAAUUUUUUUUGUGUUAGUAGAGAUGGUAUUUCACCAUGUUGGCCUGGCUGGUCUCGAACUCCUGACCUCAAGUGAUCCACCUGCCUCUGCCUCCCAAAGUGCUGGUCUGGCCUGUGUUUUCCUUUAAGCCCCUUGUAUUCCUGGGCUCGCGGCCCCUUCCUCCAUAUUCAAGCACAUGAUUCCAGUCUCUGCCCUGUCACUAUAGCUCCUCUGACUCAGACUCUCCUGCCUCCCUCUUAUAAGGACCCCUGUGAUUACACUGGGCCCAGCCAGGUCAUCUAGAGUCAUCUUUCUAUCUCAAGAUCCUUUACUUAAUUACAUCAGCAAAACCUCUUUGCAAUGGACAUAUACACAGGUCCCAGGGGUUUGAAUGUAGACAUGUAUGGGGGGCCCUUGUUCAACCCCCUAUGGGGGGUGGUUGUUGAUUUUCAGUAGGAUGGUCAGGGAAGACCCCGCUGAGAAGCCACCAUUUGAGCAAAGACCGGAGGAGCUGAGGCUGUGGGCCAGGAUGACAAGGGUGGAGCCUUCCAGGCAAAAGAAUACACCUCCUUCUGGUCAGGCCCACGUUAUAUACGAGAACAAUGGAACAAGUCGAAGACAAAGCAACACGUCCCCCUGUAAAAACUGUCAGUGUAACUGUCCACUUCCGUAUCUGUCCAGUCACUUAACAAAUAUUGACAGACCAUCUUUAAACACAGGCUGCUGUGCUGGUGUCUGGGACACAGCGGUGAGUAAGAGCCGUAAGAGCCAUCUGAUCUCAUGACACUCUCAGGAAGUUCCAGUCUAUGAGGAUGGACAGCAUGCAGAAGUGACAGGCUCAUGGCCAGAGAUGACACAACAGAGAAAAUGAAUCAAGAUGAAAACAAGAAUAAGAAUAAUUUCCCUUCCUGGCCGGGCGCGGUAGCUCACUUUGGGAGACCAAGGCAACCUGCUGGGGUGAGUGCAUGACUUUCAUUCUCUGCCCUCAUGGAGUUUCCAGACCAGACGGGAAGCCAACUAUUCAAAGACUCAAUGAAAAUACCAUCCAGUAACUGAAUGUGCAAAAUGCUGCAAAGGAAACAUUUGGGGGAUUAUAGAGUUUGAUCCUGGGUCGGGGACAGGAGCUUGGGGCAUAGGGUUUGAGAAUGGAGGGAAAGUCUAUCAAAGGGAAGCAGGAAUUAGCCAGGUAACUGCAGGUGGUGGGAGGGGAAGAAUGUUUUAGCAAAGGGAACAGCGUGUGCAAAGGACUGGGGGUGAGGAGGAUGCCGUGCCUUCUUGGAACUAAGGAACAUCCCACAGGGUGGAGCUGAGUGGGGCAAGAACUGGAUGGGAGCUCUGCGAAGCACAGCAAGUGCCAAGGUGCUGGGUUGGGCUGAGCCUGUUCAGUUUGAGGAACUGUGAUAAGGCCAGGGGUAGCAGAGAGGGCAAGACGGCCAGAUGCUGCUGGGAAUGUAAGCUGGUGAGGAAUCAGGGCGUCCUAGAGCAAAGGGAUGAUAUUAAAGGACUUUAGGGAGGGUAGUAAUGUUUGGGGAUUAUGCAUAUCUUGGGAAUCUCAGUAAAGUGAACUCAUCACUUGAAUGUUAAUAAGUCAUUUGCAUGUGCAGAGACAAAUGGGACUGUUUCUAUUGCUGUGAUCAAAUCAUGUAAAAGCACUCAAUACUGAUUUUCACAAAGGUUAUUCAAAUGAUAGAUUUAUUUCAGAAAUUUGUGGUAAUUAAGCACUUUAAGGUUGUCAGGGAGCAGAUAGGUUACUGAAGUCACAUGAAGGUGUUAGAGGUAGCAAUUUAAAAUGAAACCACCAAUUUUUACACUUUCCAAAGUAAUUUGAC